rnacentral:piRNA from 1 species
CACACAAGGCACUUGAGCA